rnacentral:rRNA from 1 species
CCUACGGGUGGCAGCAGUGAGGAAUAUUGGUCAAUGGACGCAAGUCUGAACCAGCCAUGCCGCGUGCAGGAAGACGGCUCUAUGAGUUGUAAACUGCUUUGUCGGGGAGCAAAGAGAGUCACGUGUGACUCAUUGAGAGUACCCGAAGAAAAAGCAUCGGCUAACUCCGUGCCAGCAGCCGCGGUAAUACGGAGGAUGCGAGCGUUAUCCGGAAUGAUUGGGCGGAAAGGGUGCGCAGGCGGUCCUGCAAGUCUGGAGUGAAACGCAUGAGCUCAACUCAUGCAUGGCUUUGGAAACUGGAGGACUGGAGAGCAGGAGAGGGCGGUGGAACUCCAUGUGUAGCGGUAAAAUGCGUAGAUAUAUGGAAGAACACCAGUGGCGAAGGCGGCCGCCUGGCCUGUUGCUGACGCUGAGGCACGAAAGCGUGGGGAGCAAAUAGGAUUAGAUACCCGGGUAGUC